UACGGAGGAGGCAAGCGUUAUCCGGAAUUAUUGGGCGUAAAGCGUCCGUAGGUGGGUGAGGAAGUCUGCUGUUAAAGAGUGAGGCUUAACCUCAUAAGUGCAGUGGAAACUCUUCGUCUAGAGUGCGACAGGGGCAAGGGGAAUUCCUAGUGUAGCGGUGAAAUGCGUAGAGAUCCGGAGGAACACCAGUGGCGAAGGCGACACGCUGGGCCGUACCUGACACUGAUGCGCGACAGCAUGGGGAGCAAACAGG
rnacentral:rRNA from 1 species